CACGUAGGGGGCAAGCGUUGUCCGGAUUUAUUGGCGUAAAGAGCUCGUAGGUGGUUCGGUAAGUCGGGUGUUAAACCCCCAGGCUCAACCUGGGGACGCCACUCGAUACUGCUGUGACUAGAGUCCGGUAGGGGAGCGUGGAAUUCCUGGUGUAGCGGUGAAAUGCGCAGAUAUCAGGAGGAACACCAGCGGCGAAGGCGGCGCUCUGGGCCGGUACUGACACUGAGGAGCGAAAGCGUGGGGAGCAAACAGG
rnacentral:rRNA from 1 species